UACGUAGGGAGCAAGCGUUGUCCGGAAUCAUUGGGCGUAAAGAGCGUGUAGGCGGCCCGGUAAGUCCGCUGUGAAAGUCCGGGGCUCAACUCCGGAAUCUGCGGUGGGUACGGGCAGACUAGAGUGAUGUAGGGGAGACUGGAAUUCCUGGUGGUAGCGGUGGAAUGCGCAGAUAUCAGGAGGAACACCGAUGGCGAAGGCAGGUCUCUGGGCCACUACUGACGCUGAGAAGCGAAAGCAUGGGGAGCGAACAGG
rnacentral:rRNA from 1 species